GAAGGGAUAGCUCAAUGGUAGAGCAUUCGACUGCAGAUCGAGAAGUCCCUGAUUCAAACCCGGAUGCCCCCUUCU
rnacentral:tRNA from 1 species